CACAAAAGAAGCCAUACAAGUACUCAUCUCCUCCACCACCCCCGUACAAGUACUCAUCUCCCCCACCACCUCCGUACAAGUACUCAUCUCCUCCUCCUCCACCCUACAAGUACUCAUCUCCUCCACCACCCCCGUACAAGUACUCAUCCCCUCCUCCUCCACCUAACAAGUACCCACCCCCCCCACCACCCCCAUACAAGUACUCAUCCCCUCCUCCUCCACCAUACAAGUACUCAUCUCCUCCACCACCGGUCUACAAGUAUAAGUCCCCUCCUCCUCCACCUCCUUACCAUUACUCUUCACCCCCACCACCACCAAAGAAGCCCUACAAAUACUCAUCUCCUCCACCCCCAGUUUACAAAUACAAGUCUCCUCCUCCUCCUGUCCAUUCACCACCUCCACCACAUUAUGUAUAUUCAUCACCUCCUCCUCCCGUCCAUUCCCCACCUCCACCACAUUACAUCUAUGCUUCACCUCCUCCCCCUUACCACUACUAGAUAGUGGUUUAGCAUAGCAUCUCAUGGUAAGCUUCUUCGUGCAACCUAUAUUAUCAUGUGUGACAUUUUACAAAUUAAGUUUCAUUCGAAUAAUAUAUCUACAAAGUUACAAUAUCUGUCCAGGGUCGGCCCUGGGCCCGUGCAAGCAGGCCCACAACCCAGGGCCUCCAAAAAAGAAGGGGUCCCAAAAAAAAUUCGAAUACUUUUUACAGCGUUUUUACUUAAAAAAGCGCUGUAAAUAGUCAAUCUUUUACAGCGCUUCAUACCGCUGUAUACUAUUUAACAGCGGCGAGAGGUUCGAAGCGCUGUAAAAAGCCCUUUUUUUGGCUUAGUGAUUCUAUUAAACUUUCUCCAAAAAAAAUUUAGUGGUCCAUUUUUAUUAUUAACCCAGGGCCUCCAAAAUGUCGGGACCGGCCCUGUAUCUGUCUAUUCAGCAGUUCCAUGGUUAACCAUAUUAAAAACCAAUUUUCCCAUGUAAACCAUAUUUUAUGAUUAAAAUUUAAUACAUAUUAUUUAUAAUAUAGUUGUUACGUGUUAAAAUUAAUACGCAAAGAAAAUUAAACUCCUAACUUUUUUAAACCAAAAGAUAUUAUAUUAUUAACAACAAACCUCGAGACUAUCAUUUUCAAAUUGAUGUAAUUUUCUAUUCAAUUUACCCAAUCCAUGGCCAAAUAUGAAUCUCUCUCAAUAAUCACAUUGGUGAUAUUAUGAACUGCAUGUUUUUUUUUUUCAUGGUAGAGAAAGCCGUCUCUAUUUCUCUAGUAUAAAUAAAUAAAUAAAACAUAAUUUCAACAAAAUUAUUUUAGUUUAAAUGCUUGGUUGCAUUACCCAUUUCAAGAGUUGUGAUAACCACCAAAGAAGCCAUACAAGUACCCUUCUCCUCCACCACCAGUUUACAAGUAUAAGUCUCCACCCCCACCAGUUUAUAAGUAUAAGUCCCCACCACCACCACCUAAGAAGCCAUACAAAUACCCUCCCCCCCCACCACCAGUUUAUAAAUACAAUUCCCCCCCCCCCCCACAAAAAAAGCCAUACAAAUACCCUUCACCUCCACCACCAGUUUAUAAAUACAAGUCUCCUCCACCACCACCAAAGAAGCCAUACAAGUAUGCUUCACCUCCACCUCCAGUUUAUAAGUACAAAUCUCCACCACCACCAGUCUACAAGUACAAGUCUCCUCCACCUCCAGCAAAGAAACCAUACAAGUACCAUUCCCCUCCACCACCAGUUUAUAACUACAAGUCUCCACCACCACCAGCUUACUAAUACAAAUCUCCUCCACCUCCACCAAAGAAGCCAUACAAGUACUCAUCUCCUCCACCACCCCCAUACAAGUACUCAUCUCCUCCUCCUCCACCAUACAAGUAUUCAUCCCCUCCACCACCCCCUUACAAGUACUCAUCCCCCCCACCACCGCCAUAUAAGUACUCAUCUCCUCCUCCUCCACCUUACAAGUACUCAUCUCCCCCACCACCUCCGUACAAGUCCUAAUNNNNNN
rnacentral:lncRNA from 1 species